UACGUAGGGGGCGAGCGUUGUUCGGAAUUACUGGGCGUAAAGGGCUCGUAGGCGGCCAACUAAGUCGGAUGUGAAAUCCCCAGGCUUAACCUGGGAACUGCAUCCGAUACUGGAUGGCUUGAAUCCGGGAGAGGGAUGCAGAAUUCCAGGUGUAGCGGUGAAAUGCGUAGAUAUCUGGAGGAAUACCGGUGGCGAAGGCGGCAUCCUGGACCGGCAUUGACGCUGAUGAGCGAAAGCUAGGGGAGCAAACGGG
rnacentral:rRNA from 1 species